AAAAUGUGAUGCCAAACCUGAGAGAAGAGCAAUUUCAUCAGUUUCAAUGCAGAGCAAUUUUGGAUCUUAUACAAAUCUUGGAGUCUGAAAUUUUUAGAUUAGCGAAAAUACAGCUUCCACCAGAUUGAUUGGUAAUGACAUCUGGAGCAGGUCGAUCUGAAACUGACGAACACAAAAACUCGUGUUCUUGAAAUAUGACCCGAUCAAAAGGAAAAAUUCCACUUUUACGAAAGCCAGACUUUAUAUUUUCUGGUGUAGCAGCACGAUCCCAGGCCUUUGAGUAUAGCUCCGCAAACAAGAAAAACCAAAGAGACGUCCCCAGACGGAGAAAAUGAAGAAAAAGUAGCGGAUCGGCAUCAUCAAGAGAUACGUAUAUCGGCAACUGUCGCUAUUUUAGAGGAAUGGAUUCGAUCUAAACAUAGCACUCUAUUUUCAGGUUUACUUAGUCAAUGAAUGGCUCUUAGGGACAUACAGUGGUGCCGUAUGAAACUGAAUUUUUCUUAAUUUUACAUUUAUACAGGUCAAAUUACUACUAGUUUGUUUAAAUAAAUAUUGAAUUUACAAAAUACUUAA